GUGCUGUGAAGAGUUCUAUUAUACCAUCAAACUUUGAAAGCUCAUAGAAGCUUGUUGAUGUCAAUUUUAACUGAAUAUUCUGAGCUU